rnacentral:rRNA from 1 species
CCUACGGGACGCAGCAGUGGGGAAUAUUGGACAAUGGGGGAAACCCUGAUCCCGCGACGCCGCGUGAGUGAAGAAGUAUUUCGGUACGUAAAGCUCUAUCAGCAGGAAAGAAAAUGACGGUACCUGACUAAGAAGCCCCGGCUAACUACGUGCCAGCAGCCGCGGUAAUACGUAGGGGGCAAGCGUUAUCCGGAUUUACUGGGUGUAAAGGGAGCGUAGACGGCAGAGCAAGUCUGGAGUGAAAUGCCGGGGCCCAACCCCGGAACUGCUCUGGAAACUGUGAAGCUGGAGUGCAGGAGAGGUAAGCGAAAUUCCUGGUGUAGCGGUGAAAGGCGUAGAGAUCAGGAGGAACACCAGUGGCGAGGGCGGACUGCUGGACUGUAACUGACGUUGAGGCUUGAAAGCGUGGGGAGCAAACAGGAUUAGAUACCCCAGGAGUC